CUACGUGCCAGCAGCCGCGGUAAUACGGAAGGUCCAGGCGUUAUCCGGAUUUAUUGGGUUUAAAGGGUGCGUAGGCCGUUUGAUAAGCGUGCUGUGAAAUAUAGUGGCUCAACCUCUAUCGUGCAGCGCGAACUGUCGAACUUGAGUGCGUAGUAGGUAGGCGGAAUUCGUGGUGUAGCGGUGAAAUGCUUAGAUAUCACGCAGAACUCCGAUUGCGAAGGCAGCUUACUAAGGUACAACUGACGCUGAAGCACGAAAGCGUGGGUAUCAAACAGGAUUAGAUACCCUGGUAGUCCACGCAGUAAACGAUGAUAACUGGGCGUAUGCGAUAUACAGUAUGCUCCUAAGCGAAAGCGUUAAGUUAUCCACCUGGGGAGUACGCCGGCAACGGUGAAACUCAAAGGAAUUGACGGGGGCCCGCACAAGCGGAGGAACAUGUGGUUUAAUUCGAUGAUACGCGAGGAACCUUACCCGGGAU
rnacentral:rRNA from 1 species